ACGGCGAGUGAGCGGCAACAGCUCAAAUUUGAAAUCUGGCUCCCCUUGGGGGUCCGAGUUGUAAUUUGCAGAGGAUGCUUUGGCAUUGACGGCGGUCUAAGUUCCUUGGAACAGGACAUCACAGAGGGUGAGAAUCCCGUACGUGGUCGCCUGUCCUUGCCAUGUAAAGCUCCUUCGACGAGUCGAGUUGUUUGGGAAUGCAGCUCUAAAUGGGAGGUAAAUUUCUUCUAAAGCUAAAUACCGGCCAGAGACCGAUAGCGCACAAGUAGAGUGAUCGAAAGAUGAAAAGUACUUUGGAAAGAGAGUCAAAAAGCACGUGAAAUUGUUGAAAGGGAAGCGCUUGCAGCCAGACUUGCCCGCAGUUGCUCACCUAGGCUUUCGCCUGGGGCACUCUUCUGCGGGCAGGCCAGCAUCAGUUUGGGCGGUUGGAUAAAGGCCUCUGUCACGUAUCUCCCUUCGGGGUGACCUUAUAGGGGAGGCGCAAUGCAACCAGCCCGGACUGAGGUCCGCGCAUCUGCUAGGAUGCUGGCGUAAUGGCUGUAAGCGGCCCGUCUUGAAACACGGACCAAGGAGUCUAACAUCUAUGCGAGUGUUUGGGUGUCAAGCCCGAGCGCGCAAUGAAAGUGAACGGAGGUGGGAACCCUUUGGGUGCACCAUCGACCGAUCCUGAUGUCUUCGGAUGGAUUUGAGUAAGAGCAUAGCUGUUGGGACCCGAAAGAUGGUGAACUAUGCUUGAAUAGGGUGAAGCCAGAGGAAACUCUGGU
rnacentral:rRNA from 1 species